AGAAAAGGGCUCAGAAGAUAAUAUAUGGUGACAACAGUUACAGCCUCAGAAGGAGAGGUGGCCCAGAGGCUGAAUGAAGAUGAGUGAAGGUAGAUGUGAUUCCCUUAAAUUGGGGCAAAAAGGGACAAAAACAGCAGAAAAUCUGUAUCUUUAAAGACAUAUGUAAUGUAUUUCAGUCUAUCAACUUCUCUACAUAAACUUUAGCUUUUAAAAAUAUGUUAACGUAAGUUUGACCUUUAGUGUGUUUCUACCUGCAGGGUAUUCUUAUUGGAGGUUUGUUUAAAAGCAUACAUUUCUGAUCUUGAAUGGGUUACUACAAAUCCAUUAUAAUUGUUUCAUAUUUCAUGUUGCAGAUACAAGUAGGGUUGAAAAAACAGUGAGUUAAAGGCAAAAGGAUGGCCGGGAACAUGGCUUUUUUAUUCUCUGGGUUUCUAUCCAGAUUUCUGUUCUUUUGCAUAAUGACUCCAAUCUGUUGUGCACCUGUAGUUCUGGGAAAUGAUUCUUUUUUAAUCGCUUCAACAGAGACAUGGAUGUUGGAGUUGCCAACUACUAAGCUGAAAAACUCCAUCUAUGCUCAGAAGAACAUUUAAUCCACUUACUUUUUCUCUUUUAUUUAAAGAUUAGCACUCAUCAGGCAUUUGUGGUAAUAUGCAAAUAUAUACAUAGGACAUAUAUGUAUAUUUAUAAGCAAAAUGUGAAUUGGAAAAACAUUUGAAUGUAGAAACAAGACCACAGGAGUAAAUUUGUACAAGGCACUAGUAAAAGUGACAUGUAAUAUGGGGUUCUUGUAGUGAGUUUCAUAAUCCAAUUUUUGCUCCUUGAUUUGAAUGGGCACCCAAAAUAACACAUGCUAUCCUAAUCCCUACUCCCCAUAUUUUGGGUUUUAUUUUUAUAGAAUACAUAUGGGCUUAUAUAAACAUUAAUCUCAACAUGUUCUAAUUUACAUAUGUAAGCUAAUUUUUAUUUCUAGAGAUAACAGAACAAAACUCAAAACAUUUGACAUAAAAUUAUUGGAACAAUUAACAGUUUGACCUAUUAAACACAUUAUUGUCCUCUAUGAACAGAGGGACUGUCUGAAAAAAAGAACAAGUUGUCUGCAUUUUAAAGUGAGAGAUAAGCAUCAAGGUGUCAAUUUCUAUUUACACCUUAUGUGUUCUUAUUUGUUUCACAGAUUCAUAUGUUAUAGACACAAUAUUCUAUUCACAAUUUUCACGACGUCUAUACCAAAGUAAGUAUUCAACAAGUAGCCAUGAAAUGAGGAAAUCUGGUAAUAUACAUGAGCUAUUAGAAUUGUUUUAAUGUAAACAUUGUCUAGAGAAACAACUAAUGUGCAUAUUUCAUAACCGGGAAAUGCUUUUUAUUCACAUUUUAGUACCAUAAGAUUGACUAAUUAGAAAUAGGGAAGCUGUUUGGUAUUAGUCCUACUUUUGGGAACAUAUGGUCUAAAGUAAUAUUGGACAAAUGGAUAUUUUAAUUGAUCACAAAUGAGAAAGUAGUUAGAAAACUUCUAGUUUAAACAGGUUAUAUACCCAGAAGUAUUGCAAAUAUUGGAGACAGAAAAAUUAUUGUAGCUUGCAUUUAGACUCAAAAUUGAUAUUCCCUCCACAUCAUGCCCUCACAGAACUCAGAGGAGUAUGAUCUGCCAGAUCGACUCCCUUUGUGUAACUGAUGCAGAAAUGAGACUCAAAAGGGUUAAGUAGUUUUCCCAAGAUGUCAUAGCGAGAGUCAAACUGGGGGCUUAGAAAUGACUCUGACUCAUAACUUUUAAUCAACUGUUUUGACAUUUUAACCUAUCUAAUUGUGUAGGAGGUAAUUAUAUUGUCAGACUUUGGAAUGAUGUUGUUUCCAGUAAAGUUUUGUUUUAAUUAUAAAUAGGAAUUUUCCAGCAAUAAAAAAUUUCC
rnacentral:lncRNA from 1 species